GGGGCAUUGAGAAAACCGCUAAAGCUCUGCUAAUCUUAAGUUGAUGUCGAAAGAGGAUUCACUAAAUCGGGGAUGGCACAUUUUCCAUGGAUAUGUUUGGCUGGUGGAGAACAGUGAACGAGCGAUUUUGCUGCUUUCAGUGUGGGAAACAACUAUGAAAUAGGAAAUAUGAUAGCUGAUGCCAUGAGUAAAGUGGGAAGGGAGGAAGGAAACAGUUCUGACAAUAACUUGUAUGUUGCGGAAGGGAUGCAGUUUGCCCCAGAUUAUAUUUCUCCUAACUUUGUUACAGACUGAGAAAUUAGCAAUUAAAUAUGAAAAUUUUAAGUUGCUUCUGGCUGACAUAAAGAUAACAAAUGCAAGCGAUCUUAUUUAUAUUCUGGAAAAUGCUAUUCAAGGCAGCCACCCCAUUUGUGAUUAUUGCUGAAGACAAUGAGCAGGAAACUCGUGCUACUCUUGUUGCGAACAAGGUCAGAGGAUCAUUAAAGAUUGCUGCACUUAAAGCCCCUGGAUUUGAAGAGCGCAAAAGCCAAUAUCCUGUAGGACUGGUUUGGGUGAAUU